UGGGGAAUUUUGGACAAUGGGCGCAAGCCUGAUCCAGCCAUGCCGCGUGCGGGAAGAAGGCCUUCGGGUUGUAAACCGCUUUUGUCAGGGAAGAAACGCUCUGGGCUAAUACCCUGGGGUAAUGACGGUACCUGAAGAAUAAGCACCGGCUAACUACGUGCCAGCAGCCGCGGUAAUACGUAGGGUGCAAGCGUUAAUCGGAAUUACUGGGCGUAAAGCGUGCGCAGGCGGUUAUGCAAGACAGAUGUGAAAUCCCCGGGCUCAACCUGGGAACUGCAUUUGUGACUGUAUAGCUAGAGUACGGUAGAGGGGGAUGGAAUUCCGCGUGUAGCAGUGAAAUGCGUAGGUAUGCGGAGGAACACCGAUGGCGAAGGCAAUCCCCUGGACCUGUACUGACGCUCAUGCACGAAAGCGUGGGGAGCAAACAGGAUUAGAUACCCCGGUAGUCCCUGAGCGGGCUGGCAAGGCGCAU
rnacentral:rRNA from 1 species